rnacentral:rRNA from 1 species
UAAAUCUUCUGGAAUGGAGUGUCAUAGAGGGUGAGAAUCCCGUCUUUGACAUGGACUACCAGGGCUUUUGUGAUACGCUCUCAAAGAGUCGAGUAGUUUGGGAAUGCAGCUCUAAAUGGGUGGUAAGUUCCAUCUAAAGCUAAAUAUAGGCAAGAGACCGAUAGCGAACAAGUACCGUGAGGGAAAGAUGAAAAGAACUUUGGAAAGAGAGUUAAACAGUACGUGAAAUUGUUGAAAGGGAAACGCUUGAAGUCAGUCAUAUUGGCUAGGGAUCAACCCUGUAGUAAUACUUGGUGUACUUCCUGGUUAAUAGGUCAGCAUCAAUUUUGACCAGUGGAAAAAGUUUGAGGAAAUGUGGCAUCUUCGGAUGUGUUAUAGUCCUUGGCCAUAUACACUGGUUGGGAUUGAGGAACUCAGCAUGCCGCAAGGCCAGGUUUUUAACCAUGUUCAUGCUUAGGAUGCUGGCAUAAUGGCUUUAAUCGACCCGUCUUGAAACACGGACCAAGGAGUCUAACAUACCUGCGAGUGUUUGGGUGGAAAACCCAAGCGCACAAGGAAAGUGAAAGUUGGGAUCUCUGUCAUGGAGAGCACCGACGCCCGGACCAGACC